CGGAGCUGUCUCCAGGAGCCCUUAGAGACCGAGUCCCCGGCAGCGACGGCGGGACAGCGCACCGGCAGGCGAAUUCAUUCCACUGCUUAAAACCGGACAACCUUGGACCACACAGCGUCUUACUGAUUUCAGGUAAAAAGAAGAACUGAAGAUGUCCAGCAAAACAGCAAGCACCAACAACAUAGCCCAGGCAAGGAGAACUGUGCAGCAGUUAAGAUUGGAAGCUUCCAUUGAAAGAAUAAAGGUUUCUAAGGCAUCUGCGGACCUCAUGUCUUACUGCGAGGAGCAUGCCAGGAGUGACCCUCUGCUGAUUGGAAUCCCAACUUCAGAAAACCCUUUCAAGGAUAAAAAAACGUGCAUCAUCUUGUAGUGGAAGAGUGAGACAGUCCCUCACCGCU